GGGUUGUGAGGUUAAGCGACUAAGCGUACACGGUGGAUGCCCUGGCAGUCAGAGGCGAUGAAGGACGUGCUAAUCUGCGAUAAGCGUCGGUAAGGUGAUAUGAACCGUUAUAACCGGCGAUUUCCGAAUGGGGAAACCCAGUGUGUUUCGACACACUAUCAUUAACUGAAUCCAUAGGUUAAUGAGGCGAACCGGGGGAACUGAAACAUCUAAGUACCCCGAGGAAAAGAAAUCAACCGAGAUUCCCCCAGUAGCGGCGAGCGAACGGGGAGCAGCCCAGAGCCUGAAUCAGUGUGUGUGUUAGUGGAAGCGUCUGGAAAGGCGCGCGAUACAGGGUGACAGCCCCGUACACAAAAAUGCACAUACUGUGAGCUCGAUGAGUAGGGCGGGACACGUGGUAUCCUGUCUGAAUAUGGGGGGACCAUCCUCCAAGGCUAAAUACUCCUGACUGACCGAUAGUGAACCAGUACCGUGAGGGAAAGGCGAAAAGAACCCCGGCGAGGGGAGUGAAAAAGAACCUGAAACCGUGUACGUACAAGCAGUGGGAGCACGCUUCGGCGUGUGACUGCGUACCUUUUGUAUAAUGGGUCAGCGACUUAUAUUCUGUAGCAAGGUUAACCGAAUAGGGGAGCCGAAGGGAAACCGAGUCUUAACUGGGCGUUAAGUUGCAGGGUAUAGACCCGAAACCCGGUGAUCUAGCCAUGGGCAGGUUGAAGGUUGGGUAACACUAACUGGAGGACCGAACCGACUAAUGUUGAAAAAUUAGCGGAUGACUUGUGGCUGGGGGUGAAAGGCCAAUCAAACCGGGAGAUAGCUGGUUCUCCCCGAAAGCUAUUUAGGUAGCGCCUCGUGAAUUCAUCUCCGGGGGUAGAGCACUGUUUCGGCAAGGGGGUCAUCCCGACUUACCAACCCGAUGCAAACUGCGAAUACCGGAGAAUGUUAUCA
rnacentral:rRNA from 1 species